rnacentral:rRNA from 1 species
AUUGAACGCUGGCGGCAUGCUUUACACAUGCAAGUCGAACGGUAACAGGCCGCCAGGUGCUGACGAGUGGCGAACGGGUGAGUAAUGCAUCGGAACGUGCCCAGUCGUGGGGGAUAACUACUCGAAAGAGUAGCUAAUACCGCAUACGAUCUAUGGAUGAAAGCGGGGGACCGUAAGGCCUCGCGCGAUUGGAGCGGCCGAUGUCAGAUUAGGUAGUUGGUGGGGUAAAGGCUCACCAAGCCAACGAUCUGUAGCUGGUCUGAGAGGACGACCAGCCACACUGGGACUGAGGCACGGCCCAGACUCCUACGGGAGGCAGCAGUGGGGAAUUUUGGACAAUGGGCGCAAGCCUGAUCCAGCAAUGCCGCGUGCAGGAAGAAGGCCUUCGGGUUGUAAACUGCUUUUGUACGGAACGAAACGGCUCUGGUUAAUACCCGGGGCUAAUGACGGUACCGUAAGAAUAAGCACCGGCUAACUACGUG